UACAGAGGGUGCAAGCGUUAAUCGGAGUUACUGGGCGUAAAGGGCGCGUAGGUGGUUGUAUAAGUUGGAUGUGAAAUCCCUGGGCUUAACCUAGGAACUGCAUUCAAGACUGUAUGACUAGAGUACUGUAGAGGGUAGUGGAAUUUCCGGUGUAGCGGUGAAAUGCGUAGAGAUCGUAAGGAAGACCAGUGGCGAAGGCGAGUCUCUGGACAGUUCCUGACGCUGAGGCACGAAGGCCAGGGGAGCAAACGGG
rnacentral:rRNA from 1 species